AGAGUUUGAUCCUGGCUCAGAUUGAACGCUGGCGGCAGGCCUAACACAUGCAAGUCGAGCGGCAGCGGGAAGAUAGCUUGCUAUCUUUGCCGGCGAGCGGCGGACGGGUGAGUAAUGCCUAGGGAUCUGCCCAGUCGAGGGGGAUAACAGUUGGAAACGACUGCUAAUACCGCAUACGCCCUACGGGGGAAAGGAGGGGACCUUCGGGCCUUCCGCGAUUGGAUGAACCUAGGUGGGAUUAGCUAGUUGGUGAGGUAAUGGCUCACCAAGGCGACGAUCCCUAGCUGUUCUGAGAGGAUGAUCAGCCACACUGGGACUGAGACACGGCCCAGACUCCUACGGGAGGCAGCAGUGGGGAAUAUUGCACAAUGGGGGAAACCCUGAUGCAGCCAUGCCGCGUGUGUGAAGAAGGCCUUCGGGUUGUAAAGCACUUUCAGUAGGGAGGAAAGGUAGCAGCUUAAUACGCUGUUGCUGUGACGUUACCUACAGAAGAAGGACCGGCUAACUCCGUGCCAGCAGCCGCGGUAAUACG
rnacentral:rRNA from 1 species